AGUGAACGCUGGCGGCGUGCCUAAUACAUGCAAGUCGAACGAAGUGGCGCACGGGUGAGUAAUAUAUAGUUAAUCUGCCCUACACAGAGGAACAACAGUUGGAAACGGCUGCUAAUACCUCAUAGUGUAGGAUGAGACUAUAUCGUAUCAGCUAGUUGGUAAGGUAAUGGCUUACCAAGGCUAUGACGCGUAACUGGUCUGAGAGGAUGAUCAGUUGCAUUUGAGCUGAGACACGGUCCAAACUCCGAGGGGAGGGAGCAGUAAGGAAUAUUGCGCAAUGGGGGAAACCCUAACGCAGCAACGCCGCGUGAGUGAAGACGGCCUUCGGGUUGUAAAGCUCUGUUGUAAGAAAAGAACUAGGAGAGGAUCUUAGUCAGACAUUAUCUUAACAGAAAGCCACGGUAACUACGUGCCAGCAGCCGCGGUAAUAC
rnacentral:rRNA from 1 species